rnacentral:misc_RNA from 1 species
CCGAGUGCCAGCCCCUCGCGGGCUGAACCUCCCACCCUUGUCUCUGAUACACCCUGUUGCUUUGGCGGGCCCACCGGGGCCCUCCCCGGUCGCCGAGGGGCAUCCCGCCCCUGGGCCCGUGCCCGCCGGAGCGCCCAUGAACCCGAAUGAAGAUGGAUUGUCUGAGUGUGGGAUGAGAAUUGUCA